UACGUAGGGUGCGAGCGUUAAUCGGAAUUACUGGGCGUAAAGCGUGCGCAGGCGGUUCGUUAAGUUCGUUGUGAAAGCCCCGGGCUCAACCUGGGAACUGCAAUGGAAACUGGCGGGCUUGAAUGCGGCAGAGGGGGGUGGAAUUCCGCGUGUAGCAGUGAAAUGCGUAGAGAUGCGGAGGAACACCGAUGGCGAAGGCAGCCCCCUGGGAUAACACUGACGCUCAUGCACGAAAGCGUGGGGAGCAAACAGG
rnacentral:rRNA from 1 species